GGGGAUGUAGCUCAGUGGAAGAGCACUUGCUUAGGAUGCAUGAGGCCCUGGGUUUAAUCCCCAAUACCACCA
rnacentral:tRNA from 1 species